GCAGAGCAUCCUACGGGAGGCAGCAGUGGGGAAUAUUGCACAAUGGGCGCAAGCCUGAUGCAGCCAUGCCGCGUGUAUGAAGAAGGCCUUCGGGUUGUAAAGUACUUUCAGCAGUGAGGAAGGUGGGUAUGUUAAUACGCAUAUUCAUUUGACGUUAGCUGCAGAAGAAGCACCGGCUAACUCCGUGCCAGCAGCCGCGGUAAUACGGAGGGUGCGAGCGUUAAUCGGAAUUACUGGGCGUAAAAGCGCAUGCAGGUGGUUUGUUAAGUCAGAUGUGAAAGCCCGGGGCUCAACCUCGGAAUUGCAUUUGAAACUGGCAAACUAGAGUACUGUAGAGGGGGUAGAAUUUCAGGUGUAGCGGUGAAAAUGCGUAGAGAUCUGAAGGAAUACCGGUGGCGAAGGCGGCCCCCUGGACAGAUACUGACACUCAGAUGCGAAAGCGUGGGGAGCAAACAGGAUUAGAUACCCUGGUAG
rnacentral:rRNA from 1 species